GAUGAACGCUGGCGGCGUGCCUAAUACAUGCAAGUCGAGCGAACAGAUAAGGAGCUUGCUCCUUUGACGUUAGCGGCGGACGGGUGAGUAACACGUGGGUAACCUAUCGAUAAGACUGGAAUAACUCCGGGAAACCGGGGCUAAUGCCGGAUAACAUGUUGAACCGCAUGGUUCUACAGUGAAAGGCGGCUUUGCUGUCACUUAUAGAUGGACCCGCGCCGUAUUAGCUAGUUGGUGAGGUAACGGCUCACCAAGGCAACGAUACGUAGCCGACCUGAGAGGGUGAUCGGCCACACUGGAACUGAGACACGGUCCAGACUCCUACGGGAGGCAGCAGUAGGGAAUCUUCCGCAAUGGGCGAAAGCCUGACGGAGCAACGCCGCGUGAGUGAUGAAGGUCUUCGGAUCGUAAAACUCUGUUAUUAGGGAAGAACAAAUGCGUAAGUAACUGUGCGCGUCUUGACGGUACCUAAUCAGAAAGCCACGGCUAACUACGUG
rnacentral:rRNA from 1 species